UGGCCUACUCCUGUUCUUC
rnacentral:miRNA from 1 species